AUUGAACGCUGGCGGCAGGAUUAACACAUGCAAGUCGAGCGAGCGGCGGACGGGUGAGUAAAGACUGGGAAACUGCCUGAUGGAGGGGGAUAACCACUGGAAACGGUAGCUAAUACCGCAUACCAUCAGAUGGGCCCAGAUGGGAUUAGCUAGUAGGUGGGGUAAUGGCUCACCGCGGCGACGGUCCCUAGCUGGUCUGAGAGGAUGACCAGCCACACUGGAACUGAGACACGGUCCAGACUCCUACGGGAGGCAUCAGUGGGGAAUAUUGCACAAUGGGCGCAAUCCUGAUGCAGCCAUGCCGCGUGUGUGAAGAAGGCCUUCGGGUUGUAAAGCACUUUCAGCGAGGAGGCGUUACUCGCAGAAGAAGCACCGGCUAACUCCGUGCCAGCAGCCGCGGUAAUUC
rnacentral:rRNA from 1 species